rnacentral:tRNA from 1 species
GACAGUAUAGCUCAGUGGUAGAGCACAUGCUUAGCAUGCAUGAAGUCCUGGGUUCAAGCCCCAGCACCUCCA